UAAACACACUCACGUAGCGCACACGAACACACAAGCCCUCUUCUUCGACAAUGGAAGAAGCCUUCUUCGAUUCACAGCUCCUUCAAUUCUCCGAGCUCUGAACCCACCCAAUUGAAUAAAUCGAUUAUUUUUAUACAAUUAAACUCACAAAAGGUGUUCAAUAAUGGACGUCGAUCCUCGACAGUACGAAAACAUUGUUGUCAAUGACAAUGACAUACACAACAUUGUCCUAUCGUAUCUUGUGCACAAUUGCUACAAAGAAACUGUGGAGUCAUUCAUUGCUUGUACUGGGAUGAAGCAGCCGACCAAUCAUCUUGAGGAUAUGGA